rnacentral:miRNA from 3 species
UUGUGGCUUUCUUGCAAGUUG